CCACGGCACAUGGAUGUUCCCAGACCAGGGAUUGAAUCCAAGCCACAGCUUUGACUUAUGCCACAGCUACAGCAACAACAGAUCUUUAACCCACUGAUUUGGGCUGGGGAUGGAACCACACCUCAGCAACAGCCCAAGCAGCUGCAGAGACAAUGCCAGAUCCUUAACCUCCUCCACCACAGUGGAAACUCUGUGGAUGGCAAAUUUUGAGAGUUGCAUAAUAUUGAACACUUAAAGUAUACGGAGUAUAUAUCAGAUCCUGGCAACAUGAUAAAAGUAAAGGAGAGUCCUUGAUGUGGAGAUGUUUGUGAUCUAAUGGGAGCUACAUGCACAUAGUCAUAUUUCAACAGAAUCGUUGUUUUAAGAUACAGUUCAGUCUAGGGUGCCACUAACAGAAAAAAAGAGAAGCACAUAGUACAGCGUAGGUUCAAGGAAGUGCUUUCUGGAGGAGAUGCUGCUGGCUUUGAUAGAAGAGAAUUAAAAACAAAAAAGAAAAAGAUUUCAAGAGGAGUGAGAACACUGUGAAGAAAGACACCAAGUGUAAAAUAACAUGAGAUUGUGAAAUUUAAGAAGAAGAGAGGCAGACGGGGAGACCAGAGUGGGAGACGAGACCAGAUGUCAGGGUCUGGGAAGCCAUGGUAAGAAGCUGCACAUUAAAGCUGAUGGGAAGGAUUUUAACUGGAACGUGAAAAGGUCAGUGUUUUUGUUUUUCAAUCUUUGAAAGAAAGGCUACCUUGUCUUUAAUGUACAGAGGAGUUAGAAUGGGAAAAAAAUGGAGGUGAGGAGAGAAAAUUGGGAAGGGAUUGCAAUUAUCUAGGAAUGAGAUAAGGAACUAGUUUACAGCAACAAUUGCUACUUAAAGAAGCAAAACGUCCUCCUCUUGACCCAGGGAAGGGAAAGAGGCUUGCCCGUGUUUUCUUCUUUCAUAAAUGCCUAAUAUCUUCUUGCGCAUAGGCGCCUGCUUCUUUUUUCAGCCUCUUCCACUUUAACUCAACUCAUCACCGCAGGCUCAAAUGCAGCAUGAAAGUGUUUUUGCAUACAGGUAAGAAUUUAAGUGAUCUGGAGAUGAGUCUUAAGAAUCCUAGGGAAAACCACAAAGGAGACUGAAAAGGAUUUGAAUAAAUGCAUAUUUUAAAUGCCAAAGAUGGCAAGUGCAAAAUUAAAAUGAAACAACCUCAAAAAGUAUUUACCAUGAAAGUGAAAAAGAAAAUAUCAGUAGGGUCCAAAUAGCUCAUUCAAAUCAAUUAGAAAAGUACUGAACCUCAAGAAGAUUAAUGGCCAAAGAACCUGAACAGAACACGGCAGGAGAAGAAAAAUAGCCAAUAAAUAUAAGGAUAAUAUAUAGUCAAGCUUACCAGGUAACACAAAUGAAAACUGAAGAAAUAAGGUAAAAUGUCCCCAUGUCAAAUUGUUUUAGCUGUUCAACGUAAGAUUGUGUAAAUGAUAAUGGCUGAAUGACACAAUGAUUAUAUGCAGUUUUUAAAACUUGAGCUUUUGGAUAAUUUUAUCAAGAAAAGCAUUCUGGUGUUCUGGCAGAGGAGAAAAAUUAUACAGAACUCUAUAUAUGCUAACAAUUCUAAUUAUGUACACCUGUGUGUAUGUGUUUACAAAUGUGUAUAAACAACAGUAGAUAUUUGUAGAUACAUGAACCCCAAGAUCACAUCACAUAUUAAUAUACAGUGUUGCUGAAGAGCGACUUAGAAUCAUGUGUUUUGCAAGGUUUAUCAAAUAUAGAUGACAUUUCUGACCUCAUAUCACAAAUUUUAGCUAUCAUCCACUUAUUGCAUAAGGCAACAACUUUUAAAAAGGAAUGAUUGUCUUUGAAAAAAAAAUCAUCAUUCAGUGAGAUAGAAACAAACAUUUAAUGAAACCUAUUUAGGUGCCUAAAUUUGUUGUGAGGACAAUGAAAUAUAUGACUUUUUGGCAGGAAAGUGAUUAUGAAAAACCCUAGGAACUUUUAUUCGCAAAUUUUAUGUCUACCCGUUAUGCAUAUUAAACUGGAAUAAAAACACUAAAAUGUUCACGGGUGAGAUAUGGGUAGGCAGAGAGAGGGAAUCUCUUUUUACCUUUAUGAUUCUGAAUUUUCUUGGAGCAUGAGCUGGCUUGCAAACAAGAAAAGAAUGUAAUGCUGAAGUUACAAAAUUACCACCAUGCUCCACUGGCCCAUUCACACCUCCAGAGCUUCUCAAAGGAGACAAAGGGAGAGCAGAGACCUGUAAUUUGGUUCACACUAUGGUUUGGUUUUACUAUCUGGGUUGUGCCAUUGGGAAGCUUGGGAAAGAUUUCAUUUUCAAAUGGAAAGAACUCAGCAAGGCUUUUUCCUUCUCAUUAAAAACUUCCUGCUCCUGCUAUCACUUUCCCCAGUGCCUCCUCCACCCAAAUAACUCCCUAGCCAUCUCCUCUAUAGUGACUCCAGAUACCCCAAGAAUCACUCACUUCCAGAAACCAUCAUCCCGCCAGCUCUCCUGGUUCCUUAAUUGAACCGGCUCCCAGCGCAUGGUAUCUCUGUCUGCAGACCGUGAUUAUGCAGCAGCUCAUGAAUAAUCCUGGGUCAGAAUGUCCUCUCUACAGUCUCCCCGGCCAAGCCUGUGAUAUUACUUGAUCCUUUCUCACAGCCAGUCUGCAGAAGUUUCAAAUUCACAGGCAAUAAUCCUCCAGCCAGGGUGAACUGAGGACAUUCCAGACACUGGAAUGACUGGAGAGAGCAGAAAGACAUCCUCCCCACACAGAGCCAAGAAGACCUCCCCUGGAAAAGAAAAAGGAUGAAGGGGAAAGUAUCUGUGAAUUCACCUUGGUUCAAAGCCCUCUCUGUGCCAGUUACUAAUUCCUGUGAUAUCUCUACAUAGAUAGGAUCAUAUUUAUUAUUGAAACAAUAGGAUGGAAUAGAUGGGAUCCGGCCCCAACUUUAUUGGUUAGAAAAUUGAGGCGCAGAGAGUUUAAAUAGCUUAGCUGAGGUCAUAGAACCAGGAGGGGCAGCCAGUUCUCCUAGUGACAAACUCCUGGUUUGCUCCAGGGGGCCGAGAGCAAGGCCCUGGAGGCCAAAACUAAGGACCCGAGUUAAUGGUAUACAGAGCUGAACUCUACAAAAAGGAAAAAAAGACUUUCCAGGGAGGUCAACUAGUUGCCUCCUGUACUAAAUGAUAAAAGAGAUGUAGGGCUAGAAAAGAGUCAGGAAAACCCACUUGAACUGUUGGGCUGAUGGGUCACCGGGCUGGACAUCACAGGGCUGUUCCUUUUUUGUUACAAGUGAGCUGAGAGCAGUCCCUUCAUUCGAGUGCCAUGUCUGUCCCCGUGUCUUGCUCAAAAGGUACAGAUUUGCUCCUGUAUUCUUCUUGCUUUCAUAGCAUUCUGUUGGGUUGGACUCUGUGUAGCUAAAAAAUUUGUGGACUGUUACACCUUUCAGAUACACCCAGAACCAGAUGCUGCUUCAUUAUCUCAUUGUUGUCACCUGGACCCAAAUCACCAUCAUUUCCCUGGAUGGUCAAUGAAAGAAAACAGGACUUUAGUUUUACUUCUUAAAGCCCAUUCCUACCAGAAACUGGGUGAUCUUUUGCUUUAGAAAAGUCUAGGCCAGAUUAUGUAUUUCUUCUGCAGUGGCUCAGCACUAUUUUAUCAGAAUAGAAAGCUCUGCAGUGUCUUAGAAGCCUCUAUAUCAGGGCUCAAGAACCUCUCUGCCAAGGGCAAGAAAGUAAAUCAUUUAGUCCUUGUGGUCUCUAUCACUACUACACAACUCUCCUGCUGCAGUGUGCCUAUGUUUCCAUUAAAUUGGAUAUACAAAGAUGGGGGUGGUGCAGAUCUGGUCCAUGGACCCAUAGUUUGCUGAUCCUUAUCCUACAGGAUAUGCCUCUAUUUAUUCAUUUCUAUUCCUGACCUUAUUUCUUAUGACUCCUUUUCUUGAUCACUGCCCUCUAACUACACCAGCUUUCUUGCUGUUCCCCAAACCUA
rnacentral:lncRNA from 1 species